rnacentral:rRNA from 1 species
CCUACGGGCGGCAGCAGUGGGGAAUAUUGGACAAUGGGCGAAAGCCUGAUCCAGCUAUGCCGCGUGUGUGAAGAAGGCCUUCGGGUUGUAAAGCACUUUCAGUGGGGAAGAAAGCCUUGGGGCUAAUACCCUCGAGGAAGGACAUCACCCACAGAAGAAGCACCGGCUAACUCCGUGCCAGCAGCCGCGGUAAUACGGAGGGUGCGAGCGUUAAUCGGAAUUACUGGGCGUAAAGCGCGCGUAGGCGGUCUGAUAAGCCGGUUGUGAAAGCCCCGGGCUCAACCUGGGAACGGCAUCCGGAACUGUCAGGCUAGAGUGCAGGAGAGGAAGGUAGAAUUCCCGGUGUAGCGGUGAAAUGCGUAGAGAUCGGGAGGAAUACCAGUGGCGAAGGCGGUCUUCUGGACUGACACUGACGCUGAGGUGCGAAAGCGUGGGUAGCAAACAGGAUUAGAUACCCCGGUAGUC